CGAUUGAAUGGCUCAGUGAGGCGUCCGGACUGGCCCAGAGAGGUGGGCAACUACCACUCAGGGCCGGAAAGCUCUCCAAACUCGGUCAUUUAGAGGAAGUAAAAGUCGUAACAAGGUCUCCGUUGGUGAACCAGCGGAGGGAUCAUUA
rnacentral:rRNA from 2 species